GGCGGCGUGGCGGAAUGGCAGACGCAAUCGACUCAAAAUCGAUCGGGCUCACGCCCUUGUGGGUUCAAGUCCCACCGCCGGUACCA
rnacentral:tRNA from 1 species